ACUGCUUUUCGAUUCAACCAACCGUCACAUUUAAUUUCAAACUUAAACUUAAACAAGUUGCGAAUUAUAAUGGACAUUUGCUUCAAAUUGUGUAUAGUGCGUGCUUUUAGUGCUCCAUGGGGAAUCGCGCAGCAGGGCCCAAGACGCCGUCAGCGUUCUAGUCUCGGCCUCAACAAAAAGCGUUUGCACACACGCAUUCAAUUCGCCUGCCAUUCAGCGCGAAUUCUGCGACAGAGCCGGGUGACGGGCAGUGGCGGGCAGACAUAUCCACACACAAGCGGUGGCCCGCCAUAGACGAGCGUCUGCGAGAGCGACAGCGAUGGCUGAAGUGGGAAAUCAAAUGUUUGUAAUUAAAAUUAAAUAUUCUAUUAAAGGAUCAAAACUGCAAGGCUAAAAGGAUGCAGUCGGGCGGUAAAUAGCAAUCAAAGCGAAAUGUUAUAACAAAUGGACGUUGAUUAAAGAAAAUCUACGUUGACAACUACAGAGCCGUUGCCUUUGAGGGCAGUCAAUAUUUAAGAACUAG